rnacentral:tRNA from 2 species
UCGGGAUAGCUCANCUGGUAGAGCAGAGGACUGAAAAUCCUCGUGUCACC